GACGAACGCUGGCGGCGUGCUUAACACAUGCAAGUCGAACGGAAAGGCCCUGCUUUUGUGGGGUGCUCGAGUGGCGAACGGGUGAGUAACACGUGAGUAACCUGCCCUUGACUUUGGGAUAACUUCAGGAAACUGGGGCUAAUACCGGAUAGGAGCUCCUGCUGCAUGGUGGGGGUUGGAAAGUUUCGGCGGUUGGGGAUGGACUCUCGGCUUAUCAGCUUGUUGGUGGGGUAGUGGCUUACCAAGGCUUUGACGGGUAGCCGGCCUGAGAGGGUGACCGGCCACAUUGGGACUGAGAGACGGCCCAGACUCCUACGGGAGGCAGCAGUGGGGAAUAUUGCACAAUGGGCGGAAGCAUGAUGCAGCAACGCCGCGUGCGGGAUGAAGGCCUUCGGGUUGUAAACCGCUUUCGCCUGUGACGAAGCGUGAGUGACGGUAAUGGGUAAAGAAGCACCGGCUAACUACGUG
rnacentral:rRNA from 1 species